AUCCUCAUUGCCUUCACCUUCAUCCUUCCUGCUCCUUUUUCACCUUUUCUAGCUGCUCACAGUCUGUGUUCCCUGAGCACCUCUCCCUCCUUCACACAUUUCUUGAGUCAGCCUGAAGUCUGCAAGAGGCAGGUACUGUCUUCACAGAAAACAAACUCUGCUGGUGGUCAUGCCACCCUGCCAUGCUCUGAGUAAACCUCUCAGCUUUCUUUGGAGAUCCCAAUCCUACCAGACCCACAGUCUUGAGAGAGUCAAAGCCAAACCAGAGGCAUGGAUGCAGCAGAGGGGGCUGAGCCUGAGCCAGGGGAAGUACCUGCCAGGGAGCUCCAAGAGCAGGGCAGGUGCUGCACCUCCUUUUUUUCUAAUAUUUUCUCUGAUUGUUUUUAUCAGAUAUAGACCCUGAGUUUUCCCAAAGAGGGACCUGUUGAGCUGCCUCUGGUAUGGGGGGCAGCAGACCCUCCCAUGUCCUGACAGCUCAUCUCCCACCCUGGCACUGGACCUCUGCCAAUAGAGUCCUGAGCUGGUUGGAAACAACAUCUGAUUUUCCUGGGUUUUCCCUGCUGGAGCAGGAUACCCCUCCACACCAGUGCUGUGUGCGCUGCUGCUCUGAGGGGGAAAAAGCUUCCCUCCACCGCUGGCAUCCAGACCCUAGUCUUUGGGAUUAGGCCUCCUGCUGAUCCUCCUGUGAGCACAGGAUGAGCUGCAGCCUCGAAGAAAAGGUCUGUAGAAAGCGUGGCUUCCUCAACACUCCUCCCAGCUCGUUGGAACGCCACAAGACUGGGCGCAGACUCAAAUUUCAGUGUGUGCUCACUCUGCUUCUCCUCUGCUGCCUUUAUGGAGGUGCUCCUGCUGUGCACCCACAGAUGCUGGAUGGAGCUCUUGGUGUUUGGAACCCCCAUGGGCAUUUACUGCUGGAAGCUUCUGAGAGCCGUGAGGAGGUGGGAGUGGAAGUUCAACAGUUGCAGGAGUUUUACUGUUCAAAGCCUGCAAUGGCUUCCAGACUUAAGUAUGUUUUUGUCUUCUCUUUUCUCUUUGUUGAAAUGAAGGAGCCAUUAGGGAUGGUCUGGAAUAUGGCAGACACAUGUUUGUGUAGUGUUACCGUUUAUAUGGCAGCAGGCUGGGCUGGAAAGCUGAUCAUCUUCUAAGAAAAUAAGUUAUGUCUGCUGCUUGUGCUCAUCUCAGAACUUUUUUUGAAGCCUCUUAAGUUUUGGACAUAGUUUUCAACUACCAAAAACUCUUAUUUAAUGUUUUGGGGUUUUUUAAGAGUUUAUAAAUUUAAAACCUCAACAGCUCAACAAGGAAACACCUGCUAAGAGUUGAAAGCAAGUGGAUCUCCUGUAAAAGGCUGGCACUGGAGCUGCCAUGAGAUGGCACUGCGACAUCAGGCAUGGAGCUGAGCCGCUCCAUCCCGCGUGGUGUGCGGGGAAGCACCCUCCUGGAGGGAGAAAAAAUGCCAAGGAAGAGAAAGGACUUAUAAAUGAGCUGGUUUUGAUGUUAAGACAGGGCCUUGUGUGGGUCUGACUCUUGGAAAGUAAACAGCAGCAUAUCAAAUGCAUCUCUGCACUCAGAAGGUAAGAGUGGGAUGAGUCUCCUACAGUACUGACAAGGUCAGGAAUAAUUCUGGAAGAAACCAGCAAAACCCAUACAGGUGUCCCUGAACCUCACACAGCAUGGCUGUGCCACCCCAAAACAUGUGCCAAGGGGUGCUCACACAAACCACCCUAAGGACCUGCGUUCCCUGGGCUCCAGAGAGGAAAAGUGCUUUGCUGCUUUCCUGCCUCCGUUGCACAUUGGACAUCAGAACAUCGUUACUCACAGCUGGCUCAUCAGGAUCUAUUUCACUCGAUUGUCCUCUAAAAAUGGUGUGCAGGAUGCUUCAAGAACCAACCUGGGGCUGCGAGGGCUGAGGGAACACUCUGGGAUGUCUGAAUUUACCUUUAAGCCACUCUCAGGUAGCUAACUCUGCAGUGAAGAUGCCCCAGGGCAAUGAGCUGUGGUCCUGCUGUCCCCAUCGAUGACGGCGGCCAGGCACUUGUGCCAGAAGGAUGCAUGUGAUGUGUUUGGAGAGCACAUCACCCUGCUGGAUUGGAGCAGGUGGAAGUGAAAUGAGUGGUUAAAUAAAUGCAGUGGCCGCCUGCACACAAUGUGACAGUACUUCCAGAACAAUGGAACGUCCUAUAUCAGAUUUCAUAUCUCCUGUCAAUUGAGAUUGAAGGUAUCGAUUAGGUUGAUUGCUGGGGACAAACAGAAAGUGGAAGGGUAAUUGACUGUCAUGUCCCUCAUUGAUUUGGGCACCACAGUUCACAGCAGCCAACAGUAUUUGCAAGCACUUUGCAGCAUCUCCUUUAACAAAGAAAUACAGACUUUAAGUAACAAAGUGACUUAUGUGCACUGCCACUUAGAGGGUGGGUGAGGACAUUCUUAGCCAACAUGUCCUGGAUUAACCAAAGUGAAAGGUGUCACCAGGCAUGCUGGGGCAGGAAAGCAUGGAUUUCUGUUUGCAGGUGAGUCACUGUGAGCCCACAUGGUGCUGUGGGACCAUCCCACUCCUUGGUGCUUGGCUGUAGCAGAUAUUAACAGAGGGCCUCCGAGACAGCAAAGGCACUGCACAUGGGCCACGGGCCAGGAGAGUAUAACCUCCUCUCUCUAGGUUGUUUGAGAUGUUAAAGCAACAAAUAUUUUAUAGCAUGUGUUCUACUAGGGCUCGCUAGCAGCUGAUCCAGAAAAAGUGUCCUGGGAGAGGAGCAAACUGGGAAACAUCCCAAGUUGCUGCAAUCAAAUCCACAAAAAGCUCAUAUAAAAAUUUUACAUAUAAUCAGAAGGAUGGAAAAAUUACCUUAUUCCCUGCUGUGCACUUCAGAUUAAUAUAGCCAAACAUUAUUCAAUCCUAAUACUUAUGGUGACCAUGAAACCUCUUCCUGUACUUACUGGAAACAGCCAGAUAAAAUGGCUUUUCUUCUGGAGGAUAUGUGUCUGCUAUUGGUUUUUAACAGUCUGUUCUACCUGACAUUUCUGCUCCUCACUGGCAAGCUCUUUUGGGUAGGGACUUCUCCCUGUGAGCAGAGGUCCAGUGAAAUGAAUGGGAUUUAGUUGUUCAAUGAGAUUCCAGUGUCUAAAUACCUUAGUGAACCUGACUGUGGAGUGGGUACAGGGAUGAAGAUCCCACUCCUGACUCCACAAAACCCAGAACUGGUUGCAUUCCAAUCAUGGCUAAAGCAAACUAGACUGUAGAGUGCCAGGUUACCAUACAUGCUGGUUUCCCCAGGCAUUUCCCACCUGACCAUUGUGUACGGGCCCAUUUGGAGUCUUUUGUGUGUUUGUCUCAGAUUUCCCAAUGUCUGGCAGCCUGUUGGGAGCUGCCAGAUGUCCGGAGACGCUGACCUCGCCUGCUAAGCAUGCACGAGCUCUUCCACUGCAGGCUCAAAGCAAGCCCAGUGCCUCCAGCACCACGGGGCUGGCCAUGCACGUGGUGUCUGGUCCUUUGAAGGGUGUGUAGGAAGCCCAGGAGGUGCCAAGGAUUCUUCCUACAGCCUGUCCCAGCAGUACAGCCAGCUUCAGUCAGUGUGAUGCAUCCUCAAGUCCUUGUCCUGGUGCACAGCACUAUUUGUUCAAGUCAUUUUAGUUUCAGGAGCAAUAUAUGGGUGGGAAAAUACAUGCCAGAAGAAGCCAAUGGAUUUUGUGAAUGUGCAUAAAGCAUGGAGGCUGCUCCAAUGGAUCUGUGUUGUAGCCUCUGUUCCUUGAGCACGUGCUCUAAGCCCCAAAGCUGGCUUCUUGCUUACAAAUGGGACUUAAUGAGCUGCCCUUGGCUUUACCCAGAUUUCUCAUUUAUUUCCUUCUCAGCUUUCAGGUGGUCAAACCCUAUUUCGGUGAGUUUUGGGCACUCCUCACCCACUGCCGCUGCUCAGCUGAGCCAAGAUGUUCCUCGCCUUGGGUUUUGAGCUGUUAAACUGCUCAGCCCAACCUGCUUUUGGUUUGCUUUGUCUUGACUUUGGUGCUGCUGGUGAACCGAAACACCCAUCGCUCGUGUCAUGGGCCGUGGGCAGGGCUGAGUGGGGAACUCGCUGAAGCCACCGAAAUCUCAGCGCCGGGCGGCAGCCCCGUGGGCAUCGCUCAUGAGUCAGCCACGCCGCGGGCCCCUGGGGCGCCUGAAGAGGUUUCUCAUCCCACCCAAGUUUCCUUUCCUGGGAAGCAGGGUGGCCGUGCUGUGGUGCGUGGGCUGUGCGAGCUCCCAGAGAGUCAAACCCAAACUGAGCUGACGGAAUAGCUGUAGUCUCAAGCAUCCAGAGCAAAACCUCCUCUGCUGGAGGCUUAAAAUGCUGAUUACACAGAGCUGGCUGGCCCUGGGGUUACAGUUGAGGUGCUGGCUCAGACCACGGUUAAAUGUGCAAGAGAAACAGAAAAAGUGCUGUGCUAGAUGGGGUCAAUGCAUCAGUAACUUCAGAGAGAGGCAAAGCUUACAAACAGCAGCCAUGUGCUGCUUACUCCCCCUCAGAUUUUGCUGUUAAUCCCAACAAUCCCAUACUGGUGGGUUUAUGGAACUGUCAGACUAGGAUCCCCUCUGACCCCUCUUAAAAUAACUUAUGUGAGGGCUCCACACACACUUCUAGUGAGCAGCUUCUCUAUUCCCAUUGCAUCUGCUGGAGAGAGGAUGACAAGGAGGAAGAGGAAGGUUGGCUGAACUGGAAGUUAGCACUUAAGGACAAAAGAAUAAAAAAUUCCAAUGCCACAGCAGUAAUUUCCAAAAAAUAAUAAGCAUUUCUCCUCAGCGAGUGGAUAUAUUGCAGGAAUAUAUGGCAGGACAAGCAGGGCAAACACGUCACAGUGAAACAAGAGUUAAACAACCUCCAAUCAGCCCUGUGAUGGAUCAUUAAGGAUGUGGAGUCUAAACAUGCAGUAAGAUUACAGCAUCGUGCAGAUGUUCCUAUACCGGCAGCUUAUUUUGCAUAUUGCAAAGUAUAGAGAUAAUUCCUGGUAGCAAAAGACUAACCCAUCCCACAGUGAAUGCACACUUGGAUUGCUGGAUAAGGUGAGUUUUGUGGGGUGGGAAGGACUGAGCUGAACUGCUGCUGCCUGGGAUUACAGCUGCCUUCAGCCUACAGCGAGACGUGACCUCUGCACCUUUCCCAGGCACGGUGUGCAGCAGGGACAGAUCAACAAGGAGUGAGAUGGGUUAAAUAAACAACAGAGGAGGACUAAGUAAGUAAAUGCUGAGGAAUUCUCUUUUUUUAACAUGUAUAUAUUGUAAAGAAAUGUAAGGCAACAUUCCUCCUGCUAAUUAGUGUUUCCACGGCGCUGCAAAAACUACAGCUGUAGGAAGAAUUCAGGAAAAGUAAUCAGCAGCACAAUUAAGCAAUCUGCCAUAAUGACAGAACACAACAUUAGGGAUAGAAUAAUCAGAAACAUGUAUAUUUUUCCUUCAUGAUUUCCAUUUCCCACCCAGUGAUUUGCCUUUGCAGGGUGUAUAUAAAGCAAUGCGUGAUGGCAAUGCUUGUAUUUGUCUGCUACAGCUUCUAGACCUUGCUCCAGUGAGAAUGCCCAUGUUAAUUCUUGCCAAUCACUUCCAACUGAUGUUGUUUUUUACUGUAUUUUUAAAAAACCUAAUGUUUGAUGUGCUUUAAUCCCAAAUUUGCCACCCUGUCUCAUGUAAACUCCUUUAACUUAGAGGGUCUAAAUCCUUUAAGUGGAGGAUAUCCAGACAAGAAAUUCUGGAGCUGAGGUCCCCAUGUUCCUGCCUGCCAUCCCACCUGAGGGAGCAGAGCAGGGAGAUGCUUCACACUGUGUUUUUGCAACCUCCAGUUCCUGCUCAGGAGAGGAAAACGCCUACACCUGUGAGCAGACAGUGAGGGAAUGGGCCUGACCUGCUCCAUCUGCACAAGCUGUUUUCCCAGAGCUCCCUCAGGCUACAAGAGCCCACAAGGAAGGUAAGCUCUCCUCUGGGGAGGUGCUUUGGAAGGGAGAAGGGAAAUAUGGCCCCUGAGAAGGGGCUCCCAUGCCUUUCAGCUCUCUGCCAGCCAUGGAUCAAGGCUGGUUGGAAUGAAGCCACAGGGAAAAGGAAGACCAUGUGUUGCUGUGGGAAGGUAGGUGUUCUUGGGCUCUGCUUGGGGGGCUUGCGGGCUGCUGGGAGGGGGGUGCAGUGAAAAACUGAGAGAGAGGAGCGGUUUUGGUGGAGUCAGGAGUGAUUUUUGUGCCUUGGGAAGCUACAAGCGUUAGUAAUGGGACUUAGUGAGUUUUGUGGUGGUACUUCCCAGGAGUUGGAUGUGCUGCUACUGAAAAAGGCCACCAGCCUUUCCCUGGAAGGUGGAAGCACUAUGGUGGUGUUGCAGGAGCCUGUCUUUCCAGGAUGGUGAAGCAUGUUGGAUUGCUGCUGAAGGUGUCUGGAUGGAGUGCUCAGCAUGUGCUCUGUUCAGCUGGGGUGUGUUGAUGCCCUGUUAUCCUCCCACAGUCAUGUUUCCUCCUGCUCAGUCACAGAUGGAGCUUUUGCUUAUUAGUGCCCCUUAUGGUGAGAGUUUUCUGGUCCUGGAUGUUCUUGGGAGAAGUGGCUCAAGUUUGUAACCUCUGGUGAGAGGGAGGACCUCGGGUGUUUGAAUUUACAGGUGGCUGCUAAAAACUUAGUUUCCAUCAGAAAUAAGCCAGGAAAUGUAAAUAUGUUACACUGACGAAUCUUAUGAAUGCAGUUCUCUGGUUUGCAUCCUAUAUAUCUUAAUAAAAUGACAACUAUGAAGUUGUUAUAUAUUUUGAGAAUUAAGAUAUCAUAAUGGGAUAAGCUCAGCUGGGAGCAUAACACCUUCAUAACCUUAAAAAACUUUUUGCCUUCAGGGAUAGGCUUAAGAUAAAAACCUACAAGAUCACCUUAGACUGAGGAGCCCCACACCUCCUCAUGUGCAGGAAGAUGUGAGUUCCAGCUCCUUCAGGCACUAAUGAAAAAUCUCAAUGCCACUUAAAUCAGUUUCUGAUAUUUGUAUGGCAAAAGACCAGGUAUCUUGGUGGCCAGAUUCUUCUGUCACUAAAGCUGGUGAAAAGUCACGUUACCACAACCCCUUCCAGAGCUCUUGUGUCAGAGCUGAUGUUCUACAUGUUUCUUUUUCAUCUGUGUGACUGCCUUGCAAACAAAUAUACACUCACGGGGCUGUUCCUCCUUUUCCCAUGUGCCCAUGUAAGUGGAAUUUGUUGGGAACACCAGCCACAGGGAGCAGAGAUGUGUCUGCAAAACUUGUUCAUGAAAUCCCAAGCCAUGGAGGAAUGCUGGGUUAAUUUUUCAUCAGAGUAUCAGCUGAAAGUAAUGUAAACCCCAAAUUAAUGCAGACAAUGCCUAAUCUGGUCUGCAGGCCCUCUGUAUUUUUGAAUUCUUUUCUACUAAAACUCAAUAAAAACAUGGGGGUGGGAAGGUGCUGCUGGGAAUUUGCUUUUUGUUCUCUUUAAGUGCUGUAUUUCUCAGCAGUCUUCAAGUUGCUCAGCAUGAAGAUAUUGUUACAUUAGAACUACUGUGGGUUUAACACAAUUCGGAAUUUGCAGGCAAAUGGAUGUAUUGUGUUGGGGCUUAUCCACCGAGGACUGUGAAACUACAAAUUACAACCCAGCUGCAUUCUCUUAUCUGGAUUUUUUUCCCCAUGUGCCUGUGAGUCCUCCCCUCUGCACAAGCAGAAGGUACAAGGAGAAACCUGAUUGAGAAAAAGAAACAUAGGCUCAGAGUCAAAAGGGACCCUGACAGGGGAGAUCCUGCUCGUGUCUAUGGAUGCUGCAUUUGGAUGGGAUGGGGUGGCUGGUGCCUUUUCUGAGCUGGAUGGAGUUAGUGUUUUCCAUUAGCAGAGGAUGUGAUGCCUCUGGAUUUAGUGAUUGCCUGGGGAUUUUGUUGCUGUAAUUCUCCCUAGAAAACUGUGGCAAACAGGGGAAUAGUCAGCACAUCCACUGAGCAUUUCUCUGAUAAGUAGGAAGAAGGGGGCUACUUAUUCUCUUGGAUUGCUAAAUACAGCAGUGAAACAGGGGACCCACCAAUUUCAUGUUCUCAGCUGUACUUCAUCCUCAUUCUUCCUCUUUGAAGGGAAUGAUAAAUCCCCAGUAGGUCCCUAUGGGAGAGGUAGAAGGUGCUUGCACCUUUGAGACAAGGCUUUACCACCUUUUGCUAGCCCUGGGCAGGUUUUGCCUACCUUUUCCCAGUUACACAGCUGGAGCCAGGUUAUGCACCAGAGCCUGGUGCCACAAGCAUGGACACCUGGUUUGGGAACAGCACUGAAACAAACCUGUCUGGGCAAAGGUGCUGUACCACCUAUAUCUGGGACAAGCUCUUGGCCUUUGUUCUUCUAAGCAAAGGGUCAUACGACCUGAUUUUAGCGAUAUUCUGGACACCUGGUAGCCAGUAAGAGGCUGAAAACUCAAUGACCCCACGAUAAUGUUGUUAUGUUUAUUUGCUUCCUUUCAAAUGGCUGUGGACAUGAAGGAUGCUGAAAAAUGGGACCUGAACUCGUGCAUUUAGUUGACCAGGAAAUAAAUAUAUCAGUGUGACAGUACUUCUUUGGACUCUUUUGAGACUUGGGAAUUGCUGGCCAUUCUAUUUGCUGGCUCAGUUUAAGCAGCAGAAACGUCCAUGUGUUCUGUCAAAGCACUUUACUUGUGACAGGCAAAGUGCUGCCCUGAACUGAAAAACCAUUCAGAGCAAAUAAAUGCAUUAGUUCAAUGCAGAGUAUCUUAUAUUUGAUACACACCACUUCCUAAUCACUUUACUGAACAUCUGGAUGGCCUUGAAAUGAAACCAGUGUUGGUGUCAUCUUCAAUUUGGACAUGGGAUCCAUUUCGGAGGGCUUUUCCCAAGAGAGCACCUCUUGGAUCUUGGUAUCAUUUAGGUUGGGUCCUACAAGUCUAAUGUAGAGUAAAUAAAAUUAAGAGUUGCUUCAAUGCUGAAGGAGGACAGAAGGUAGCACGUGGGAGCCAGCUGAGCCCUUUUUAGCCCAAACUGUAGAAUCAUAUUAAAAAGUGCAGAUGUUACCAAGGAAUGGGGAUUUUUCAUGUGUCUGAAACAGGGUCUGUGCUUCUUUCUCUUAGAGAAGUACCCAGUACAGGUACUUCUUGCAGCAGAAAUGAGAAUAAUUAAUUAUGACUGUUAAUGUGGUGUACAAGAGACUGAAAUUAAACUCGUAGUACUGGUAAAAGAUGCAAAAGAAACGGAGGGUGCAGAGGCACUGGCUGAGGAGCCACUGGUGAGGAGUGAGAGUGAAGGGGGAUGACUUAAUGAACGAGAGAUGCAGUCGCAUCACGGCGAGUCAGGCUCAGCUGAACAACAACAAGAACUAUUUGCAACGUCUUUUUGUCAACAUCUGUUUGCCUUUGAGUUCAUUAAAGUGGAACAAAUCUCACUGAUCUUUUUUUUUUUCUUGUGUUGAAAUUUUGCACAAUUGUUUCUGUUAUUUUGGCAGCCAAAAUGAUGCUGGAAUGUUUCACCUUCUUUUUCCAAGUUUUUGAGCUGAGUUACUCAGUUGAGGUUUGUCACAUAAACCAUGAGGUUUUACUUCUGCUGCUAGCCAAAUUAUAAUCUUUAUAUCAUGAGCCUUUUUUUGUUUAUUUCUAUUUCCUUAAAGCUUCAGCUUCUGGAAUCAUGAGAAUGCAUGAAAAUCUCUGCUCCUGCUUUCUGUCAUGUGUUUGUUUUCCCUUGAGUUUUUAGCACUGAGAACUGUGGAGAAACUUUUGGGUGUCAUCUGAGAGAUGAAAAAUGGAGUUCAUUAAUUUUUUCUUUUUAAAUACCAGCUAGAUAAUUUUCGGAAACUAUGACUCAUGAUUUUCAAUGUUUAGAUUUGGCAAUGCUGUAGUUCUCCGUGCCGCUUCCCCGUGACCAGGAGUGUUGGAAGAAGCCAUUUCUCCACAGGCGAGUUCCAGCACAGAGAGCCAGGGUGUGAAUUCCCAGUGGCCUAGUUAGGCUGCACAGAUUCCCCAUGAGGAUGCAGAGUGUGCUCUACCUGCGCUUUGGAAGUGUUCUCAGGGCAUACCUCUGUGAGUAACACAAAACUUGUGGGUCAGAGGCCCUAGAGCUGACACCACCAUGCUCCAGCUCACAGACAGAAAGCAGCACAGAAGGCCGUUUCGUGUUUCAAACUGCACUUACUGGCAUGGACACAGCUGAGGUGAUGCUGCUGUGAGGAUAUUGAGCACCUCCCAGCUGUGCAGUGCCGUGUGGUUAUAGUUGGUGGGAUGCCUUCUGGGUGCUCUGUGUGAUGCUGAGCCUCCUCAGGUGCCCAGGGCUGGCUUCUCCUAAAACCCAUCCCCUGUAUCUGAAGGGGUAGCUGGAUAGCUGCUCUGUUCUCUGAGCCUGUUGGUGAGGACUUGUGGCUCUGGAGCCAACCUUUCUGCUCAGCAGGGCAGGGCUGCUCGGCAACACUCAAGGGCCAUGUAGGGAAAGCAGUAACACUGUGUGACCUCUGAGGGGCUUCCCAAGGCUUGCAUGACUUGGUUUAACACAAACCUGCCUGUGGGUUCCUCGUCUCUAGAUUGCUAUGAACAUGUCGUGGCUCCUUGGAACCACGUAGUAGGCAUCAGUGGGAUGGGGAAACUCUUGGGUGCCCAGUGGGGAAUACAUUGGAUGAGCUUGGGAUGAUCUUGAGGGAGCAGUUUCAAGUCCCUUCUGGCUGUCCCCAACAACUGUAGAAAGAAAAGGGAAAAUAAACCAUUGGGGUAGACCUGGUAAAGGCGGGCAAGGGGGAGAAACAGGCACUUGGCAGUAAUUCAGUCCCUCAUGAAGGAAGAGCUGUGGUAGCUGUGGGGUACCCACUGUACCCAAGGCCAAAUUUGAACAUCUGCUGGGACAAAACCCAGGAGAUGGUGCCACUGGAGCAGCUCCUCUGGCCAGGCCAGGAGGGAGGGAAGGAGCUGCUGUGGCUGGAGCCCCUGGGAAGGGCGCUCAUGGGGAAACCAGGAUGCUGCAGGGUGCACUGGGGCGGAGGGCAGCUGGGAGCAGGCUGAGGUCUCUGCCCCUCAGGAAGCUGUAAGGGAUUUGUGUGUUUUCCAAGGCAGCAGAGACAGGAUGCUGAGGGGUGGGAGAGAGACAGAUUUCCUUCUGCUGUGAAUAGGCUGGGGUGGGGGGAUGGUGGCUCUGGCUUAACCCUUGCCUGUUUGUUCCUUUCAUCUCCAAAAUGAAAUGGUGUUCUUAGCAAAUCAUUCCAAGAAACUGCAGGAAUGAGAGGCACAAAAAGUACUGUGUUGUUGGCACCGGGGUGAUGCCGUGAGUUUUAUUAUCCCAGUUCUCUCGCCCCCAGGCGUGUCUCCCUGGCUCUGGCAUUUCUUUUUCCUUUGAAGUUUGUUUGUUCAGUGGUGCUGGCAUUGUUAUGACCCACAUGAACACCAGCAAUGCCAGGGGAGAGGCUUAUGGGACAUUAUCUUGAGUUAGGUAGAAGCAGCUCAUAGGAGACAGCUGCAGGUUUGGGUGCUGUAACAAAUUUUCACCAGAAGCCCAAAAAGGAUGGGAUUUCACUUGUCUUUUACAUCAAGGGUGGGGGGAAGAAAAAGUCUUAGGACUAACUCCUGAAAUGGUUCCUGCUCUUGUUCAACAGUGAAGGCUCUUCUGUCUCUCUUGUAAAGUCGUUAAUAGAACAACCUAGAGGAACUGGAGAAGUGAAAGAAAACCCAACCACCAUCACCUCCCACCAGCCAAUCCAAGCCCUUGGAAAUGCUGUGGAAACAGGACCUGUGGAAGACCUUUAGGGCAUGAGCAUGUAAAAUAAUUUGGGAGAGGUACCUGGAACAUGGGAAGCCAGGGACAUCUACUUUGUUUACUGCACUGGAGUCUCCCAGAGCAGUGGAGAGUCCACAUGGCUGAAAGCUGGCAGGCAGGCUGCAGGUGUGGUGAAAGAGAUGUGUUUUCUAAACACACUAAAUACUUAUUGCUCCGGCCUUUUGUAGAUAAAGAUCAGCUUUGACUUUAAAAGAAAUUACAGCAGAAGUGCUUGUACCUGGGAGGAUGAGUACCUGCUUCCAGGUUGGGCUUAGUAGAACUGAACUUCAUAAACAAAUUAUUUGCUGUAAUUAAGCAUGUUAGAGGGUUGAUGGAAAUGUGCCUCCAACUCACACAGUAUCGGGGUGGAAGCUGUAAUGUGUUGGCCAGAGAAUCACCCUGGGUAGGAACAAACAGCCACAAUGUUCUUGGGUGUGAAGUUUCCCAUUUAUAUAAUUUCUUCUCUCUGAAAAAAACCCAGAGCAGACGUUUAAUGUGCAAGGAUGGCAGAGAGCAGUUGUGAACCAACGAGAGCCAAAGAAUUUGUAGGAAAACAUCUGGUCUCUAGGCCAACCAGAUAAAGAGCUUUUGGUAGCUGUGAAAAUGUUUCUGCCCUAUGGCUGUGCUAAUUUCACAAGGAAAAACAGUCUCUCCUCAUUCACUUUUACAAAGUUUGAAGGUUGGAAUAUAGAGAUACAGGUCUAUUUAUCCCUGUGAUAAAGGUGACAAAAAAACCCACAAAAAACCCUCCUCAAAAUAAAACUAGAAAUGAAUGUGUUGAUUAUGAUGUAGGCAAAAAAUACCAAAACCAAAAUGCAAAAUAUUUAAAGCCUGAAAUGGAGUGGAGGCAAGGCAAGCUAAGCUGAAUAUCUUGAAGCCUGCUCCAAGAAAUGAAAAUGUUUCUUCAUACCAAGCAUGCUCUGAGUGAGCUGAGUUUGCUUGGUCUCAAGCUGAUGACAGAAGCUUUUAACAGAACAAAUAAUGCAAAAGAGAAGAUUAUUCUCUGCUAGGAAAAAUUAUUUUCCCCCCCCCCUUUUUUUUUUUUUCCUUCCAACUGGGAUAUCAGGUCCCUGACUGGCAUAAGAGCUCGUUCACAAACUGGGCAAGGCUGGACAAGCCAUUUCACCCAGGAUGAAAAUCCUAUCACAGCUGGGGUGUGCAAGGGUUGAAGGAAAUACUGUUUUGUGCUGUUUGGAAAUUGAUUGCUUGGGAUAAAAUUGUAUGUUUAGAGGGAGAUUUCCAGGUGGGAUUAGCUAUGCUUUGGUGCUCCCAGCAGUUGACAGGGAGGCAAUGAUAGGGAGAGCAUGAAAUGUUGUGCUGUGGUCUAAAAGCUGAAGGGUAGGUGGGAACCUUGCAGGCAGGUUUCUGCGGGCUGUGCUCUUGUUUUUGUCCACCUGGUCUAUGGCAGGAAAACCUGGGCUUGCCCUGUGUGUCCUCCCAAAGCUCAGCAGCCACCACCAUCACUGCGUUUCCCCUGUGAGCAGACAGCAUUGGCAGAGGCAAUGCUGUGUGUAGAAAUGCUCUGGAGGUGGGUGUGGGGGAGAUGGAGGAUGGGAAGGUGUGCUGGGGGUACACUGGCUGUACAGAGUUCAGUGGGUGGGUGGGACUGUCUGUCCAGGUGACAUCCCUCCUUCCAAUGAGCACUGCCCAUCCCAUCCUCUCCAGCCUCCGCUCCCAGGCUUGAGCCAAAGUUCCUACCCCAUCCAAUUGCUCCAGUUAAUGCUGUGGUUUGUUUUUCUUUAUUAAGAAGAUGGCUUGAGACCUGCCUGUUUUUGAGUCUAGCUCCCUUUAAUCUGUCCUUACCAUGAUUGAGGUUAACUGAGUUUCCUGCCCAGCAGCUCCUUUGGCAAAUUAGAGAGAACCAGUGAGACACUGUCAAUAAACUUCCCACUGUAUAGAUUUUGUCCAGCAGAGCCCGAAUAAAUUGGGUCAUGCUGCCAUAUGUAAUCCAUGCACUUGAGGUUUGACCUAGCUCUUGUGAAAACUAGUGGGCAGGGAUGUGUCUGGGAGCCGGACUGGAACUAUGGCUGAGACGCACAAAUUUUGAAAGAGCUGGGGUGGAGUCGUGCCCUUCAUUUUUGUGGACCAGUUUCAUUCGUACAGGAAGAUGAUUGAUGUCUUCCCGCGGGAGCUUUUGUCUGUGCUGGAGUGUGUCUUGAACAACAUUGCCAAGAUACCUUGGGGCUGGGUUAGGUAAUUAUUUUGUGAUUAGAUGCUGAAAUCAAAUAAAUAAGUUAAUCAUUGUACAAGUUCAGAAGAAAAUACAUUUAUUUAAUCUGAAACUUCUUCACAAUGGUUAUGCACAACUCUGUCAUCUUCUGCACGAUGUUGGCCUCGGGUCUGAUGACUUCCCACCAAAUGAAUCGCUAGCUUCCCAUGGCCCUGUUGAUGCAAAGUCAGGAGGAGGCAGGAUCCUUUUCCUUUGCUCUUUUGGGCAGUUGACUUCAACCCUACAAGUGGUGGCGAUGGGCCAACGUGGCUGCCAUCAGCAAUCACAGUUCAUAUUUGCAGCACAGGCAAGAUCAGUGCACUAACCAGGGGGACUCCUCUUUUGAAAAGAGGCUUUGAAUGAUGUCAAGAACCACCACAACGAUAUGGUUUUUACAUAAAUAAUAAUUAAUUGCAUGUAAAUCAGACUUUUCCCCACCCCUUCCAUUAGUAUCGUCUUUGGUAAGCUCUCUGCCUUGUUUCUGUCUGCUCACUCUGACUAGUUGAAUGGCAGCAGACAUCAUUUGCAAUGCUAACGUCAGAUACGGGUCAAAAUGGACAAGGAAAACACAACCCGGGGUUUUAUCAAUGCAAUAACAACCAAUUCUGUCUAGAGAUGGUAGCGUUCUGGGGUUUAACCUCUUCACUGCCACAUAGCAAGAAACACCAGGAAUUUACUUUUCUGGCCUCCUCUUCUGCUAUUUCUAACUUCUCUUUCCUUCUCUUGGCCACUCUCUUUUUUCUUUUUCCCCCCUCUCUUAUGUUUACUAGAGCAUCUGGUAGUGUUUAUCUCCCAAAACACAGGAGACUGCUGUUUUCGUAGAUAUGUAACUAGAGUAAAAGCUUUAAUCUUUGUUGAUGUUGGACUUUUGGAUUGAAAAAUAGUCAUAAUAGUGGAAAAAGUUAAGAUGAAAUAAUAUUUCAGUGUAGUACACUUUUGAGACAGGAUCAACAGAAAACCCCUCACGGGGAAAGUCACAAUUACUACAUCUCCUUCCCAGGGAAUACUGAACUUGGCAGGGAGAGCAGGGCAGGGAGUGAGGACACCAUCUCCCUGAUGUGGUACUGCUUGUCUCAUUGGAAGCUGAAUGUGUGGCAUGUCCUCACGGACAUUUCUGCAUGUGCUCCUGCAGCAGGAGUUUAAGCAGACCCAGAAAUGCCAACAAGAUGUUAGAAAUCUGUUUCCAUCUCUGCUGGCUUUCAGUACUGCCUUCCAGGAAGGCAGAGAAGGAGCUGGUCUGGCCUUCAGCAUAGUCAGACUACCCUUGGGUUUUGUAGCCCCUAUGGAGGUCAGAGGAGGAGAUGGUGCUUUGGAUUUGUCUCUUGCUCUAAAGAACUACAUUGGUUUUCUACGGAAGCUUCAGAGAUGCUGAGAUUGGGUUAAUUAGAAGUUGUCAAGAUACAGCAAGAAGUGUUGCUGUCAUCAGAGAGAUGUAGAAAGCGUUACAGGAAUUGGGUAGCAAAAGGCAGGUAGGUGUCUGCUAUCUGCAGAAGAUUUUAUCUGCUGCCUUCCCAGGGGACUAGGCACUGUCCCAAACCUGCAGCAAAGUCAGCUAUGCUGGAAGCAGACCUGCAAAAUCUGGGUGGCUGCUGCUUUCCUAGCAAGAAUGUAUUCAGUUGCUAAUAUUGUAAAUGCUUCGUGGUACAUUUUUAUAGCAAUAGCAUUUAUGUAACUUAAGAUUUUUAUGUAAUUUAAUUUAAGAUUUUUAUGUAAUUUAAGUUUUUAAACUAAAUGCCUUAAUUCAGGUGCUAUCUACUCCGAUUUCCACCCUCACCCUCCUGCCAGGAAAGGUGUAAACCUGACUGUAAGAUCUCCAAACUUCUGGGGAUAAAAUGUUUUUGGAAAACCCCCACUUUGGGAAGGCAGUGAGCCGAUGAAAGAGAGCUUAGCCUGUAACUUUGUUAAGGCAGUAAUGAACCAAGCUAAUAAAUUACCUAAUGUCACCUUAGGAUAGGUCCGUGGCCACCUGUCACACAGCAGCACAUCAAGCUGGAGACGCACAGUCAGCCUCUCCUAACCUUUGUACCUCCUCCCGCUAACCAGGGAGCUGGUUCUGGAAAAGACCAGGCCUGCAGAGUCCUGCAAACCAAAGAGUAAAAUAUUAAUAAGCCAAAGAGGAGCUGGAGGUGUCAGCGAGGCUCUGGCACAGCCAUCGGGGAUAGCACUGCUGGUCUCUGCACAAAGGGAACAGCAAACGGCUUCUCCGCAGAAAAUUUCACCCAACCAAUUUUUUUUGCAUGCAAAAAUGCAGAUUCAGCAGCACCAAAACGGUCUGUGCACACAUGCCAAACUUGUCAUUUAUAAAAACUCAAAAAAGCUCUGACAAAUGCUGAAGCUGUUAGUUUUGACACUUCUGACAUGAAACACUUUGAUUUUUCAUUUUGAAACUACUUUGUGUUCAAAAUGUCCUUUAAUUUUAUUUUCAAGCAAGGGGGUGUGUGUCUUUUCUUAUUCCCCCAAAAAAUCAAAAUUGAAAUGAAAUCUUCAGAUUGACUCAACAUGAAAUUGUUCUUGGAUUUUUUAUUUCACCAGGGUUUUUUUUCUUCUUAGAUGUGUUUGGCUUUGAGUCACUUUUUUCACCCCACAAUUUGCCAGUUGAUUUUAUCAAGAGCCACAGCGAACAUCAGCCCCUUUGAAGGACCACAGCUGGCACAAUAGAAUAUUUUUUUUGUGGAUGUCAGUUGUGAAAAGAAAAAAAAAAAAAAAGGAGCCUUGCUUUUCCUUUCCAGGAGAUUGAGUUCAUUUUCUAUCUGACUGGGAUAAAUAAUAAACAGUAUUUUUUUUUUUUUUCUGCUGUGAGGGAUUGUGUUACGUUAUCUGUUUAAACAUUCCGUUACAUUUUAGUAAUGUGAAUAAUGAUUAUUCCUGUGCUUCUGAGCUCUCCCUCUUGGCUCGGGCGCCGGAGGUUCAGGAGACACCUGGCAUUGUUGACAGAGCGCUGAACUCGAACGCCUCUCACUGUGACAGGGCAAGCCCAAAUAUUUUGGGAAGAGUCCUUGUUAUGUUACGACAGGGGUUGGUAGCACUGAUGCCGGGGAUGGGUUUUGCUUCAAUACGGAGCUGAUUAUGCUUUAUUAUUCGGGGAACAGCAUGAACCUUGGCAGGCAGACUGCUGGGAGAAGGAGGAUUGGACUUGGGCAUUUCUUAUUUGUAGGAUGUGCUGAAGGUCUUCCAAGAGAUGCUAUUGUCUUGAAAGAGGCCAGGAAUAGGACACCCUGAAAGAUGUUUUUCUGUGGGCAAUAAAGUGGGAGAAAUAAAACUUUUUGGCAAAAUAAUAUAAAUGUUUACUGUAGUUUCUACAUGUAGGCAAAUACCUGGGGAAGAGCUCAUAUUAAAAUACCUUUUUUCUAUCCCUAAAGGUGUUUUUUACUUCCCACAGUGUACAUAUUCCCUCUUUAAUUGGCUCCCUCUUCUGAAGUCAGGCUGCAUCUUGGUAGUGCUUUGUGCAUCUUCAGUACUGCACAAGUGUCCAGCUCAUGGCGUUUAAUCGGUCAUAGACUCUCAACAAGAUUGGACAUCUUGUGGUGUUUGCCAGUUCACGUAUGGCACAUGAUUAUAUUCAGGGAGCAAUAGGUAUUAAAUGACAUUAAUUACCAUGAAUAUUCAUUUAAGAAUCUCGACCAAAUUCAGGCAGAUUAACAGUCCAAUGCAAAUACAAUGGUGUCACAGGUUUGAAAAGAGAUGUUGGAAUUUUUUCCCAAUGUUGCCCCUGCCCUUGUCUGUUUCUUCCAGGAUGGGGGUGGGGGUGGAGUGAGGCCACACAUGUGGGGCAGUGCAGGAGCAGGGAGAGUGGGAGGUUUCAUGGGGAAGCACAGUGGCCACAAGGAUAGCUAGGGAGUUCUUUGUUUGGGGGCUUUUGGGGUGGUGGUCCGGGACAGGACAGAGUGGGAGCCCGGUUUUUGGCCGCCUCUUUCUCUUUUCCUGAGAGGAAGUUUUUUUUCCCCAUGGGACACCUCGCAGAGAACGACCGAGAGAGAGUCACUGACCAUCUCAGAGUGAGGUAUUCUGCUUUCAAGACUGCCUGUGGGGAAAAAGGGACUCCUUCAUUUCUGACUGCGGGCACACAUGGCUGUGAGCAGCUCUUCAACUGCCAGGACAGUCCUGCCUUUCCCCCACACCCUCCCUGGGUUGCUGUGGGAUUCUCCCCCCCACCUGGGGAUUUGGGACUUUGUUUUGUUUCUUCUGAAAGUUUUUGGUUGCACCAUUUGUUGUUUAUUCAGAUUUUGUUAAUAAAAAGCUGUUUCUUUUUCCUUUUCCACA